CCUACGGGUGGCAGCAGUGAGGAAUAUUGGUCAAUGGGCGCGAGCCUGAACCAGCCAAGUCGCGUGAGGGAAGACGGUCCUAUGGAUUGUAAACCUCUUUUGUCGGGGAGCAAAAGACGCCACGCGUGGCGUUCCGAGAGUACCCGAAGAAAAAGCAUCGGCUAACUCCGUGCCAGCAGCCGCGGUAAUACGGAGGAUGCGAGCGUUAUCCGGAUUUAUUCGGUUGAAAGGGUGCGCAGGGGGAAGCACAAGUCAGCGGUAAAAUUGGGAGGUCAAACCUCUUCGAGCCGUUGAAACUGGUUUGCGUGAGUGAGUGAGAAGUAUGCGGAAUGCGUGGUGUAGCGGUGAAAUGCAUAGAUAUCACGCAGAACUCCGAUGGCGAAGGCAGCAUACCGGCGCUCAACUGACGCUCAUGCACGAAAGUGUGGGUAUCGAACAGGAUUAGAUACCCCAGUAGUC
rnacentral:rRNA from 1 species